UACAGAGGGUGCGAGCGUUAAUCGGAAUUACUGGGCGUAAAGGGUGUGUAGGUGGUUGGGUAAGUUAGAUGUGAAAUCCCCGGGCUUAACCUGGGAACUGCGUUUAAAACUGCUUGACUAGAGUAUUGCAGAGGGUAGUGGAAUUUCCAGUGUAGCGGUGAAAUGCGUAGAUAUUGGAAGGAACACCAGUGGCGAAGGCGACUACCUGGGCAAAUACUGACACUGAGACACGAAAGCAUGGGGAGCAAACAGG
rnacentral:rRNA from 1 species